GACAGAGGGGGCAAGCGUUGCUCGGAAUCACUGGGCGUAAAGGGCGCGUAGGCGGGAUGGCAAGUCAGUCGUGAAAUCUCUCGGCUCAACCGAGAAACGUCGGCUGAUACUGCCGUUCUUGAGGGAUGCAGAGGAGACUGGAAUUCCCGGUGUAGCGGUGAAAUGUGUAGAGAUCGGGAGGAACACCAGUGGCGAAGGCGGCUCGACUGGCCCGGUACUGACGCUGAGGCGCGAAAGCGUGGGGAGCAAACAGG
rnacentral:rRNA from 1 species